AAAACCCAAAGGCGAAAUGAAAGUAAAUAAAAAAAUAUGAUUUUAUCAGUUUUUUUAUAGGGAAGAUGAAAAGCAUGUCAGUAAUGGGUAUAGCUUGCUAUUAUUUGUUAUUGACAAAAGCUUUUCCGCACUCCCGGGGCGCUUGUUUCACGCUUUGCGAGUCACUGCGCACCUAGAGCGUACACGCUGAUACCCGAAAGAUGGUGAACUAUGCCUGGCCAGGACGAAGCCAGGGGAAACCCUGGUGGAGGUCCGCAGCGAUUCUGACGUGCAAAUCGAUCGUCGGAGCUGGGUAUAGGGGCGAAAGACCAAUCGAACCAUCUAGUAGCUGGUUCCCUCUGAAGUUUCCCUCAGGAUAGCUUGCGCUCGUUUGAUACGAGUCUCAUCCGGUAGAGCGAAUGAUUAGAGGCAUUGGGGUCGAAACGACCUCAACCUAUUCUCAAACUCCAAAUAGAUGAGAACCCCGGCUUUCUUAAAAAUGAAGCCGUGGGAUUCGGAUCAGAGUGCCAAGUGGGCCAAUUU
rnacentral:rRNA from 1 species